rnacentral:rRNA from 1 species
AACAAACGCUGGCGGCGUGCCUAAUACAUGCAAGUCGAACGGGGAAAGCUUUCGGGUGAGUACUAGUGGCGCACGGGUGAGGAACGCGUGGAUAAUCUGCCUUAGAGUGGGGGAUAACUAGUCGAAAGAUUAGCUAAUACCGCAUAAGACCACAGGAGCUGCGGCUCUAGGGGUCAAAGGUUUUUCGCUCUAAGAUGAGUCCGCGUAAGAUUAGCUAGUUGGUGAGGUAACGGCUCACCAAGGCGACGAUCUUUAACUGGUCUGAGAGGAUGAUCAGUCACACUGGAAAUGAGACACGGUCCAGACGCCUACGGGAGGCAGCAGUAGGGAAUAUUGCACAAUGGAGGAAACUCUGAUGCAGCGACGCCGCGUGAGUGAUGAAGGCCUUCGGGUCGUAAAGCUCUGUCGCAGGGGAAUAACACAAUGAAUGUACCCUGUAAGAAAGGAUCGGCUAACUUCGUGCCAGCAGCCGCCGUAACAC